rnacentral:rRNA from 1 species
UACGGAGGGUGCAAGCGUUAUCCGGAUUCACUGGGUUUAAAGGGUGCGUAGGCGGACAGGUAAGUCAGUGGUGAAAUCUCUGGGCUUAACCCAGAAACUGCCGUUGAUACUAUUUGUCUUGAAUAUCCUGGAGGUAGGCGGAAUAUGUCAUGUAGCGGUGAAAUGCUUAGAUAUGACAUAGAACACCGAUAGCGAAGGCAGCUUACUACAGGAUGAUUGGCGCUGAGGCACGAAAGCGUGGGGAGCAAACAGG